UGCUGCCGGGUGGUCUCUAAACCACUGGGCAUGGGUUGACAAAUCCCAUUUUACAGAAGGUUGCCAAAAGGAAGAACCUUGACACUACAGAAUGGGAUUUCGAAGCCCAGCAUAGAGCAAGGGGACACUGGAAAGUUCUUAUUCAAACUAAGGGACACAUUUGGUGGCACCACUCCUGCCUGGUUUGAAUAUGGAGGGCGGGCACUGUCCUCCAACUGGGUGAGGGUGCCAGUGGAGAGCACAGCAUCUCCCUGAGGAAAGGCCAGCAGGGACAGUUCACCUCCUGCACAGGAUGAGAUUGAUUUGCUCCCAUGAGUGUUUUUCCUUCUUCUAAAUGUGAAAGUCUAACUCCUCAGCUGCCCCAGCUCCCCACAGCUUUUAACUUUUUGGGCAGCUGCAUGUGGGGCCAGACACAGCAGGGGACAGAUACAUUCAUCUCUCCACAGCGGAUCCACCCUGACACCCAGUUGCCGGGGCUGGUCCCCUGCACUAUGCCUCGCCUCCCUCUAGAGGGCACCUGCUGCCUGCAGCUGCCUGGACAAAGAUGUACAACGCCCUAAAAAUCACAAGGAGUAGACUCACCACUGUCCCAGUCUACACCGGGUGUAUCUGGGAUCCAUGGUCUCGCGAAAGGAACCACGGACCUCGCCCAGGAACAGAGACAAGACCAGCAUUUGAAAGACAAAAGACCCUGCAGAACCAGCAACUCUCACCAUUACAGACAACCGAAACUGCACAUCCCUUCAUGGAGUACACAUGCUCAGUACACCAGGGGCUGACCCUUGCCUGGGCAUGCCUCCUGUCACUAGGGUCACACAAGGUCUGCCCAUAUAAAAAGGGGCAGUGAAGACAGACCCAAUGGGACGCCCUCUCCAUCUGGACCAGCACCAUGCCACACCACCUAUCCACCCAGAGGCCCUGCUGGCGACCCCCCUCUGGACAACAUCUACUGGACAAGGACCCCUUUCCAGCCUGGACAGGUAGAUAUUACCUACACACCUCCUCCUACAAUUUGGACUCUCUCUCUCUCUCUGUCUCUCUCUCUCCUCCUGGACUUCAGUGGACUUCAGCCCCUGCACCAAGCCUCUCUAACCCCUGCUGCCAUUGUGUGUGUGUGUGUGGGUGCAAGGGAACCAAUUUGACAUUGUGUCACCAUCUCCCCUGUUCAAUAAAACCACUGUCAUUUGCAACCCUGA